rnacentral:rRNA from 1 species
AGAGUUUGAUCAUGGCUCAGAUUGAACGCUGGCGGCAUGCCUUACACAUGCAAGUCGAGCGGCAGCNNNNNGCAACCCUGGCGGCGAGCGGCGCACGGGUGAGUAAUGCAUCGGAACGUGUCCUCUUGUGGGGGAUAACCAGUCGAAAGACUGGCUAAUACCGCAUGAGAUCGAGAGAUGAAAGCAGGGGACCCGCAAGGCCUUGCGCGAGAGGAGCGGCCGAUGCCCGAUUAGCUAGUUGGCGGGGUAAAAGCCCACCAAGGCGACGAUCGGUAGCUGGUCUGAGAGGACGACCAGCCACACUGGGACUGAGACACGGCCCAGACUCCUACGGGAGGCAGCAGUGGGGAAUUUUGGACAAUGGGGGCAACCCUGAUCCAGCCAUGCCGCGUGUGUGAAGAAGGCCUUCGGGUUGUAAAGCACUUUCGGACGGAACGAAAUCGCACGAUCUAACAAGUCGUGUGGAUGACGGUACCGUAAGAAGAAGCACCGGCUAACUACGUGCCAGCAGCCGCGGUAAUAUGUAGGGUGCGAGCGUUAAUCGGAAUUACUGGGCGUAAAGUGUGCGCAGGCGGUUGAGCAAGUCGAGUGUGAAAGCCCCGGGCUUAACUUGGGAAUUGCGCUCGAAACUACUUGACUGGAGUGUGGCAGAGGAAGGUGGAAUUCCACGUGUAGCGGUGAAAUGCGUAGAGAUGUGGAGGAACACCAAUGGCGAAGGCAGCCUUCUGGGCCAACACUGACGCUCAUGCACGAAAGCGUGGGGAGCAAACAGGAUUAGAUACCCUAGUAGUCC